UUUCUCGAGGUUCUUGACGUUUUUGGAGGAAAGAGUGAUGCGGAUCUUGUGAAUCGACUCCUGGGUUUCCUCCAACCCUGGUUUCGUAGCUGGCUUCAUCGCUGCGUAUGCCGCCAUGCUUGCUUCUUCUUCUUCUGCAUCACUUGAGAGAGGAGAGGGAAAACAAAACGAGCUGGAAACUGAGGGCCGCAGCUUCAACCUCUUCGGAAGCAGUGUGAUGUUAGGGCUAGGGUUUUGGUUGGUGUUGU